rnacentral:rRNA from 1 species
GGGUACUUGAGGAGGGGCACAGCUUGGAACGACUGCUAAUACCCAAUAUGGCGAAAGCUGAAAUAUUUAUCCCCUUGAGAGGAGCUCGCGUCCGAUUAGUUAGGUGGUGGUGUAAGAGACUACCAAGGGAGCGAUCGGUAGCUGGUCUGAGAGGAUGAACAGCCACACUGGGACUGAAACACGGCCCAAACUCCUACCGGAGGGAGCAGUGGGGAAUUUUCCGCAAUGGGCGAAAGCCUGACCGAACAAUACCCCGUGAGGGAAGAAGGUUUUUGGAUUGUAAACCUCUUUUUUUAAGGAAGAAAAAAGUGACGGUACUUAUUGAAUCAACAUCGGCUAACUCCCCGCCCCCAGCCCCGGUAAUACAGAGGAUGCAAGCGUUAUCCCGAAUCAUUGGGCGUAAAGCGUCCCCAGGUGGGCAGUCAAGUCUGCUGUUAAAAACCGAAACUCAACUUCUGAAUGGCGGUGGAAACUGGCUGGCUAUAGUAUGGUAGGGGUUGAGGGAAUUCCCACUGUAGCGGGGAAAUGCGUAUAUAUUGGGAAGAACACCCCUGGCGAAAGCGCUCUUCUGGGCCAUAUCUGACACUCUCGGACAAAAGCUAUGGUAGCGAAUGGGAUAUUAUACCCCACUAGUCACA